rnacentral:rRNA from 1 species
AGAGUUUGAUCAUGGCUCAGGAUGAACGCUAGCGGCAGGCUUAACACAUGCAAGUCGAGGGGUAUAGGUUUUCGGACCUAGAGACCGGCGCACGGGUGCGUAACGCGUAUGCAUCUACCUUUUACAGAGGGAUAGCCCAGAGAAAUUUGGAUUAAUACCUCAUAGUAUUAUUGAAUGGCAUCAUUUAAUAAUUAAAGUCACAACGGUAAAAGAUGAGCAUGCGUCCCAUUAGCUUGUUGGUAAGGUAACGGCUUACCAAGGCAACGAUGGGUAGGGGUCCUGAGAGGGAGAUCCCCCACACUGGUACUGAGACACGGACCAGACUCCUACGGGAGGCAGCAGUAAGGAAUAUUGGUCAAUGGGCGCAAGCCUGAACCAGCCAUGCCGCGUGCAGGAUGAAGCAUCUAUGGUGUGUAAACUGCUUUUGUACGAGAAGAAACACUCCUACGUGUAGGAGCUUGACGGUAUCGUAAGAAUAAGGACCGGCUAACUCCGUGCCAGCAGCCGCGGUAAUACGGAGGGUCCAAGCGUUAUCCGGAAUCAUUGGGUUUAAAGGGUCCGUAGGCGGUUUUGUAAGUCAGUGGUGAAAGCCCAUCGCUCAACGGUGGAACGGCCAUUGAUACUGCAAGACUUGAAUUAUUGGGAAGUAACUAGAAUAUGUAGUGUAGCGGUGAAAUGCUUAGAGAUUACAUGGAAUACCAAUUGCGAAGGCAGGUUAUUACCAAUAUAUUGACGCUGAUGGACGAAAGCGUGGGGAGCGAACAGGAUUAGAUACCCUAGUAGUCC